CAAAGAGGUAGGGAACGAGCAAGUGCCUCCGAGGAGGAGGAGUUGGCUGCUCUGCGACGCCGGCCCGGAGCGCUUCUCGGCUCCUUUGCGGGACCAUGGCGCCCUGCCCUGUUCUGGGUGCCACCCGGGUGCGGCGUGCACUCCCCGCACCCCCGUAGUGACACCACUGGAAAGCAACCUUCUCCCCAAGACAUGAGGCUUCAUUCCCGGCAGAGCUCAGGGAGGAGAGCUUGCAGCAGGAGUCAUUUUGCAUGUGUGUUGAACAUAAGAAAGAACAGAGGCCUACAACUCCAGGAGAGUCAUCCUUUGAGAGCCACCCACACCCCAUGACAUCUUCGCUGAUGGCAGGCAUGUGGCACGCGCACUGAAGGAAGAGUCCAUGGUGCGUGCAAAGCUCUCCUCCAACACCACGUUUCAAAUGAGUUGAUUUUUCUCUUAGCCCUUUUUUCACUGUCCAACUUUCACAGCCAUACGUAGAGAUCGGGAAUACCAUGGUCUGAAUGAUCCUGACUUUAGUGUUCAGUGAUACAUCUUUGCCUUUGAGGACCUUUUCUAGUUCUCUCACAGCUGCCCUCUCCAGUCCUGGCCUUCUUCUGAUUUCUUGACUAUUGUCUCCAUUUAUGACUGUGCCGAGGUAUUGGCAAUAUUCAAUAAUAAGGUAUUUAUUUGUGAGGGGGAAAAUAAUAACUAAGGUUCCCCCCCC